rnacentral:rRNA from 1 species
AGCACCACAACAGGUGGAGCCUGCGGUUUAAUCGGACUCAACGCCGGGAAACUCACCAGAUAAGACAGCUGAAUGAUAGUCGGGCUGAAGACUCUACUUGACUAGCUGAGAGGUGGUGCAUGGCCGUCGUCAGUUCGUACUGUGAAGCAUCCUGUUAAGUCAGGCAACGAGCGAGACCCACGCCCACAGUUGCCAGCGUACUCUCUGGAGUGACGGGUACACUGUGGGACCGCCGCUGCUAAAGCGGAGGAAGGAAUGGGCAACGGUAGGUCAGUAUGCCCCGAAUAUCCCGGGCUACACGCGAGCUACAAUGGUUGGUACAAUGGGUAUCUACCCCGAAAGGGGACGGGAAUCUCCUAAAACCAAUCUUAGUUCGGAUUGAGGGCUGCAACUCGCCCUCAUGAAGCUGGAAUCCGUAGUAAUCGCGUUUCAACAGAACGCGGUGAAUACGUCCCUGCUCCUU